rnacentral:rRNA from 1 species
AUUGAACGCUGGCGGCAUGCCUUACACAUGCAAGUCGAACGGCAGCACGGGAGCUUGCUCCUGGUGGCGAGUGGCGAACGGGUGAGUAAUACAUCGGAACGUACCCAGUAGUGGGGGAUAACGCACCGAAAGGUGCGCUAAUACCGCAUACGACCUACGGGUGAAAGCGGGGGACCGUAAGGCCUCGCGCUAUUGGAGCGGCCGAUGUCUGAUUAGCUAGCUGGCGGGGUAAAAGCCCACCAAGGCGACGAUCAGUAGCUGGUCUGAGAGGACGAUCAGCCACACUGGGACUGAGACACGGCCCAGACUCCUACGGGAGGCAGCAGUGGGGAAUAUUGGACAAUGGGCGAAAGCCUGAUCCAGCCAUGCCGCGUGUGUGAAGAAGGUCUUCGGAUUGUAAAGCACUUUAAGUCGGGAGGAAGGGCUGUAGGCUAAUACCUUGCAGUUUUGACGUUACCGACAGAAUAAGCACCGGCUAACUUCGUGCCAGCCGCCGCGGUAA